AGUGAACGCUGGCGGUAGGCCUAACACAUGCAAGUCGAACGGCAGCACAGUAAGAGCUUGCUCUUACGGGUGGCGAGUGGCGGACGGGUGAGGAAUACAUCGGAAUCUACUUUUUCGUGGGGGAUCACGUAGGGAAACUUACGCUAAUACCGCAUACGACCUACGGGUGAAAGCAGGGGAUCUUCGGACCUUGCGCGAUUGAAUGAGCCGAUGUCGGAUUAGCUAGUUGGCGGGUUAAAGGCCCACCAAGGCGACGAUCGGUAGCUGGACUGAGUGGAUGAUCAGCCACACUGGAACUGGGACACGGUCCAGACUCCUACGGGAGGCAGCAGUGGGGAAUAUUGGACAAUGGGCGCAAGCCUGAUCCAGCCAUACCGCGUGGGUGAAGAAGGCCUUCGGGUUGUAAAGCCCUUUUGUUGGGAAAGAAAAGCAGCAGGUUAAUACCCCGCUGUUCUGACGGUACCCAAAGAAUAAGCACCGGCUAACUUCGUG
rnacentral:rRNA from 1 species